UCUUUCAGAAAGAUUAUAUUACAGGACACAGACACAGAAAUCAUUGCAAAUCAAGAGUAAAUUACAAAGUGAAAAUCAAGAAUGGAGGCAAGAGGGGUUGGAAGACUUGGGACAACGAAAGAUGUUCCUGCCUAUGCUUCUGAGAUAGUGGAGCCACUCAAAUUCCGCAUGAGGGGACAAUUGACUUGCUAACUUUGCUCCCCGUAUCAGGAGCUCACAUGUUGAUGGGGCAAAAGGCUGAACCAUCCUACUUAGGACAAAGGAUGAAGAAAAGAAGCAGGGGAAGAAAAGGAAAUUGGAACCAUGUUGAUCAUACACUUGAAAUGAAGGAUGGUGAACAUUUCAGCAUCUGUAGGAGGAAGUCAUGUGUCUGGCCACAGUGACCUCUCAUAAGUGAGGAUAACUUAGAAGUUGGCUCCAGGGUUCCUUUCGGGGUCUUGGAAAGAAGGUC